rnacentral:rRNA from 1 species
GUCGAGAAUUUUUCGCAAUGGGCGCAAGCCUGACGGAGCGACGCCGCGUGGGGGAUGAAGGUCUUCGGAUUGUAAACCCCUGUCACUUGGGAACAAAUUGGAUGACCUAACACGUCAUCCAUUGAUAGUACCAGGAGAGGAAGCCGUGGCUAACUCUGUGCCAGCAGCCGCGGUAAUACAGAGACGGCGAGCGUUGUUCGGAUUCAUUGGGCGUAAAGGGUGCGUAGGCGGUGAGGUAAGUCGGAUGUGAAAUCCCAAGGCCUAACCUUGGAAGGGCAUCCGAAACUCCCUCGCUAGAGGACUGGAGGGGAGACUGGAAUUCUCGGUGUAGCGGUGAAAUGCGUAGAUAUCGAGAGGAACACCUGUGGCGAAGGCGGGUCUCUGGACAGUUCCUGACGCUGAGGCACGAAAGCCAGGGGAGCAAACGGGAUUAGAUACCCCAGUAGUCC